rnacentral:tmRNA from 1 species
GGGGGCGAAAGGUUUUCGACGGGACGGUUGAAGCCCUGGCCGCGCGCGGGGGAUCCGAGUGUACCCCUUCCUUCUCCCGGAAAAUUCAAACGCCACUUACGACGUUCCUCUCGCGGCCUAACUAGCGCCGCGACGCUGAACCCCGGAUGUCUGCUAGGGGGGGAAGUGUCAUUCAGCAGGCUGGAGGCGCCCUGGGUGGCCGGGGGCUCUUCGACAUCCACGUGGCCGCUGGCGCUUGGCGUGGCCCGCCUCCGGGCAGCUCCAAGGGCGAGACCCAAACGGAGGAUACGCGCGUAGACGUCUUGGUUUUUCCGCUUCGGACGUGGGUUCGAAUCCCACCGCCUCCACCA